rnacentral:rRNA from 1 species
UAGGGAAUCUUCGGCAAUGGACGAAAGUCUGACCGAGCAACGCCGCGUGAGUGAAGAAGGUUUUCGGAUCGUAAAACUCUGUUGUUAGAGAAGAACAAGGACGUUAGUAACUGAACGUCCCCUGACGGUAUCUAACCAGAAAGCCACGGCUAACUACGUGCCAGCAGCCGCGGUAAUACGAAGGUGGCAAGCGUUGUCCGGAUUUAUUGGGCGUAAAGCGAGCGCAGGCGGUUUCUUAAGUCUGAUGUGAAAGCCCCCGGCUCAACAGGGGAGGGUCAUUGGAAACUGGGAGACUUGAGUGCAGAAGAGGAGAGUGGAAUUCCAUGUGUAGCGGUGAAAUGCGUAGAUAUAUGGAGGAACACCAGUGGCGAAGGCGGCUCUCUGGUCUGUAACUGACGCUGAGGCUCGAAAGCGUGGGGAGCAAACAGG